rnacentral:rRNA from 1 species
GAUGAACGCUGGCGGCGUGCCUAAUACAUGCAAGUCGAGCGAACGGACGAGCAUCUUGCUUCUCUGAUGUUAGCGGCGGACGGGUGAGUAACUCGUGGAUAACCUACCUAUAAGACUGGGAUAACUUCGGGAAACCGGAGCUAAUACCGGAUAAUAUUUUGAACCGCUUGGUUCAAAAGUGAAAGACGGUCUUGCUGUCACUUAUAGAUGGAUCCGCGCUGCAUUAUGUAGUUGGUAAGGUAACGGCUUACCAAGGAAACGAUGCAUAGCCGCCCUGAGAGGGUGAUCGGCCACACAGGAACUGAGACACGGUCCAGACUCCUACGGGAGGCAGCAGGAGGGAAUCUUCCGCAGUGGGCGAAAGCCUGACGGAGCAACGCCGCGUGAGUGAUGAAGGUCUUCGGAUCGUAAAACUCUGUUAUUAGGGAAGAACAUAUGUGUAAGUAACUGUGCACAUCUUAACGGUACCUAAUAAGAAAGCCACGGCUAACUACGU